AGGCCGCUGCGAUCCCUUCGGGGUGAGCUUGGCGCUGACGAGUGGCGGACGGGUGAGUAAUACUUGGGAAUCUGCCCAGUAGUGGGGGACAACCCGGUGAAAACCGGGCUAAUACCGCAUACGUCCUACGGGAGAAAGUGGGGGAUCUUCGGACCUCACGCUAUUGGAUGAGCCCAAGUCGGAUUAGCUUGUUGGUGGGGUAAUGGCUUACCAAGGCGACGAUCCGUAGCUGGUCUGAGAGGACGAUCAGCCACACUGGGACUGAGACACGGCCCAGACUCCUACGGGAGGCAGCAGUGGGGAAUAUUGGACAAUGGGGGCAACCCUGAUCCAGCAAUGCCGCGUGUGUGAAGAAGGCCUGCGGGUUGUAAAGCACUUUCAGUAGAGAAGAAAAGCCUGGGGAUAAUACCCCCGGGUCUUGACGUAACCUACAGAAGAAGCACCGGCUAACUCCGUGCCAGCAGCCGCGGUAAUACGGAGGGUGCGAGCGUUAAUCGGAAUUACUGGGCGUAAAGCGCGCGUAGGCGGCAAGGUCAGUCGGAUGUGAAAGCCCUGGGCUUAACCUGGGAAUUGCACUCGAAACUGCCUGGCUAGAGUAUGGGAGAGGGAAGCGGAAUUUCCGGUGUAGCGGUGAAAUGCGUAGAUAUCGGAAGGAACACCAGUGGCGAAGGCGGCUUCCUGGCCCAAUACUGACGCUCAGGUGCGAAAGCGUGGGUAGCGAACAGGAUUAGAUACCCUGGUAGUCCACGCCGUAAACGAUGAGAACUAGAUGUCGGGAGGAUUUCCCUUUCGGUGUCGCAGCUAACGCAUUAAGUUCU
rnacentral:rRNA from 1 species